AAAAAGGGCUUCUGCCAUGCUUGGCACAGGAGGGGUGGGGUUAACCACUCUUCUUGCGGAAUCGCCAUCAAGAGAUUUCGGAAGCAUAAUUUUUUAACCCAGGGGCUGCUAGUGAUCUCUCGUCCUGGCGCCCCA